CGGGGCGCCGUCCCCAACCGCCGACGCCUGCCAGACCACCAAGUGGGGGCCAUGUCGACGUGUGAGGAGCCUGGUGGAAGGUGAUACUGGAAUUCCGGCACUGGGCCUGCAACCCUUUUAGUCCACAGUUGUCAGAAUCUAAAGGGAAGAAAAACGAAGUGCUCAGAACCCUCACAGAAGCCGGGCACCUCAUCCCGUGUGUGGGUUUUUUCCCCAGUACAAACCCAUUGUGGGGACAGGCGCUUUUGAAGAAAAAAUUCAGAUUCCCGGGCUGAAGUGGCUCCUCACAGCCUUGAACCUGACCCCCAGCUUCCCGCUAAAGCCGAGCGUGCCCAGCACGGCGAGGUCAGCAGAGGCCCCUCGGAGGGCGGCCGGGGGAGGUCAGUGGGAGGCCCUCGGGCAGCCGGUGGAUGGGCCGGCGACCUCCCCGACUCCAUCAGAAGCGCUCAGUCUGUGCCCUUCAGUUACUGGAGCAGCUCCCGUCCUUUGGCCAGUUCUCUGGAAGGUCGUUUCCGUUUCUGUGUCUGCCACACGUGCAGCACAAUCGAAAAACCUUGUUCGACAUUUCUAGAAAGAGUAGAUGCUACUGAAGACCCAAUAGAUUGCUGAGGGUUUUCAGAGCAGGGACAAUUGCAUCAGGGUGCUGGGCUCCGGGAAGAACUCAGAGGACUUGGCUGACGGGCGGAUGGGACAGUGAUUGGUGCCGAGAAUGGGCCAGAGAAGCAGGUCUGCCUGGAGCAGGCACCCGAGGCCGCGUGCAGGGGCGGUCCUGGGCCACCAACCCCUGGAAGCUGGGCCAGGAGCUUCGGAGCCAUCCGAGGCUUUUUUCGCUCCUCUCACUCUCAUGCACCUAGUUACCCUCCCCACAGAGUCUUCUCACGGCGCGGUUUUCGGCUACCAUUGCAGUGGUGUCUGACUACACCCAGUGCCUCUAUCGUUCCCCCCUCAGUCUGUUCUCGCUUCUUGGCAAACCUGUCCUUGGAAAGCCCUCUGCUGACUCCUGUUACCCUGAUCAAAUGCAUCCUCCUCAGGAGGCUCGUGAGCCCUUUGCAGGGUGGCCCAAGAGGCAUCACGCCCUGCUCUCCAGCCACUCUUGGGGUCCCCUACAGGGCCAGGCGUCCCACACCAGCAGCGGGUGCUGGUCCUGCCACAGUCUGUGCGACACGUGAAUGAAGGCUGUAGACCUGUGGUCUGCGGGAGGCAAAUUCCAACUCCAGCUGUCAAACAUAAGGGGACUGGUAGGCUCUCCAGGGUGGAUUGUCUCACGGCAUCCAGAGGCAGGGACCGAGGCAGGGACCUAGCCAGGCCUCGGGAAGGAGCUGCAAACCCAGGAGCUCUGGGGUGUGGCUUCAUCUCCCUCCCUCCCUACCACCCUACCCCCAUCUCUCCGUGUUCUUCAGAUGCCUCAUUUUCCUGUCAGGCACCUGGCCAGCUCUAGGAGCUGGAAUCAGGUUGGUGCCUCCUUGGUCAGUGUCCACCCCUAGUGUCAUCCACAGUGACCAACGGAAGGGGUGGCCGGUGGUACAGGACAUUGGCCAUCUUGGGAAAGAUCACAGAGACAGGAAGGGCCUCUCCAGCUGAGCAGAUGAGAGGUUCUUCAGUGGUCUGGACACAUUUGCCCACUCAUGGCCGUCCCCCUGCCCUGUUGAGAGAACCGAUGAGGAAAGGGAGCCCUGCAUCUGUCGCCUUCCGACUCCGACCGCCUGAGGCUGGGCUGCCGGCAAGCCGCGGCAGCAUAUGACAGCACUUGAAAGAAAGUCCCUGGAAAGAAUGUGGAUCAUUGCAGAACUCCCUCAAGAAAGCGCCAGAGGAGGACCCCAUUCAGCACCCCGCAGAACUCCUCAAACUCCUGCGUCCACACUCCCCCAGCGUGGUGGCUGCUUCUAUCUCCCCAGGCUUAGCUGGCCUGGGUCUUGAAGGCCUCUCCUCCUGCUGUCCCCACGCAGCAUCCUCUCUGCCACUGCACAGCUGGAUGCAGUGAAGGCCAGGCGGCUGUGGCUGCUUGGGCAACAGGAGCUGCUUGACCCUGUUCUGCUGGCCUUGUUGGCCUCACUCCCGUAGAGAGCCAAGGUUACCCACGUCUCUGAAGCUAAGGCUUUCUUUCUAGGCCUGGGGGAGUCACAUCUUGCAUUCGUACUCACUGAGCUCCACGUCUAUGGUUAGAGAAUUUAUCAACAUUUUAUAAUGCUUUUAUCAAUUCCAUCAUUUGAGGGCCCUCUGGCAAGGAACCUGUUAGUACAUGGAGUGCCUGGAAUGUUCCAGAAAGCUAACAUGAACAGCUGGCCCUUGCUGUCCUUAUACAUUGAGGACUCCAAAGGCCACUCAGGAUGACAGGAAAUGCAGGCUCCAAAAGAUUCGGUUCCUUUGUGAGGCCCUCGGGCAGUGGUCAGACACGAAGGAAAUAGGAAAUCACCCCCAAACCACACCUCUCCCUAUGAGGCCACAGCUGCCGAUGCAGCCUUGGGAGGGGGAUGGAGGGAGAGAGGAGGGCAUCUGAAUGUGGACACACCCUGCUGUGAGGGCUGUGGGCGGUCCUGAGACUGGAGCCAGCCCCCAGGCUCAGCUCAGCUCGGGGACCUCGUGCCCGGGCUUUCCUGGGGAGGAAGGUGUUGGAUCUCCUGCCUCUCUGUAUUCAUUCACACUUUGGGUUUCUCUCUCUUCCGCGCAUUCUAACAUCUGCAGGAUUUUUUUUUUUUUUUUUUUUUUUUUGAGACAGAGUCUCGCUCUGUUGCCCAGGCUGGAGUGGAGUGGUGCGAUCUCAGCUCGCUGCAAGCUCCGCCUCCUGGGUUCACGCCAUUCUCGUGCCUCAGCCUCCAGAGUAACUGGGACCACAGGCGCCCGCCACGACGCCCAGCUAAUUUUUUGUAUUUUUAGUAGAGACGGGGUUUCACCGUGUUAGCCAGGAUGGUCUCGAUCUCCUGACCUUGUGAUCCGCCCGCCUCGGCCUCCCAAAGUGCUGGGAUUACAGGCGUGAGCCACCGGGCCUGGCACAUCUGCAGGAUUUAUGGAUGAAGGGCCACAAACCCACAUUUGGUCUCAUUCAACAGAUGUUGUGUCGGCAGGGCGAGGUGGGACUCUGUCUCUGCCCACGCUACCUGCCCCUGGGGUUGUAGUUCUAGGAAAGCAAGUCUCAGACUGAGUUUUGAUCUGGAUUAAAUUCUGUCCCAGGUGCAGAUAUUUAUAGGAAAGCAGGGACAAGAGCCCUCAGGCAAAGCUGGGUAUCCUGCGAUGGGUGCCUCUGGGAGUUCGCAGAUAACAAGGCCUUUUCCUGGAGGCAAAGCAGAAGCGUUCUGUGGCAGACCAGUCAGCUUUCUAGCAGGUCAGGGGCAGGGACAUCUAGGCCCAAGGUGUCACACCGUGCCUGGCUGCUGGCUCUCCUCUUGCAAGGACACAGCUCUUACAGGACUUCCUAGCCCACCCAAGAACAUCUUUCCAUCAUCGAAAAGUUAUUGAUAAGAUUUUUCCAUCACUGAAAAGUUAUUGAUAAGUGCCACCAUGUGCAUGAGCAGCCCUCCAGGUGCUGGCUUGUGGGCCGGUGUUUGAGAAUCUUGCCAGUUGAAUGUGGGCAUCUGUUGAGGGUUUCCCAAAGGCUAACCGUUCGUGCCAGAGGGAGGCCGUGGCUCAUUCCUAGGGCCCUGGGUGAGACUGGGGCUCAUGCACACACAGGUAUCGAUGGCAUGGGCUGUAACGAGCUGAGUGCCUGCUGCCCUUUCCUAGUGGGGGGGGUGGGCUCCUGGAGAAAGAGGGGAGGCUGCUACUCUCCAGGGCCACAGGGAGCCCAGAACGCCACCUCCUGGUGUCAGCAGCAGCAAAUCCAUAUAAGUCUGCAGCAACUUAGCUUUUGCCUCCUCAGAGGAAAUAAUUCAUCCAGGGGGCACAAGGCAGGGUCAGAGACUGAGGUAAGUUUCAGAGCAAGAGUGAAAGUUUAUUAAAAAAGUGUUAGAGCAGGAACGAAAGGAAAUAAAGUACACUUGGAGGAGGGCCAGGUGGGCAUCUUGAGAGAGCAAGUACACGGUUUUGACCUUUGACUUGGGGUUUAUAUCUUGGCAUGCUUCUGGGGGCUGCGUCCCUUCUCCCCUGAUUCUUCCCUUGGGGUGGGCUGUCCGCAUGCGCAGUGGCCUGCCGACACUUGGGAGGGCCGCGUGCACAGUGUGCUUACUGGAGUUGUGCGGUGCCCUCUUGAGGCAGUCUUCCCUUACCAGUUCCUAGGGGAAGGUCACACGCUGGUUAAACUUUGCCACUUUGCCUCGUAGUGUGCAUGCUUGACCUCACUCACCAACUCCUGAGAUUUUUUUUAAAUUUUUUAAUUUAAGUUCUAGGGUACAUGUACACAACGUGCAGGUUUGUUACAUAGGUAUGCAUGUGCCAUGUUGGUUUGCUGCAUCCAUUAACUCGUCAUUUACAUUAGGUAUUUCUCCUAAUGCUAUCCUUCCCACCCCACGACAGGCCCUGGUGUGUGAUGUUGCCCGCACUGUGUCCAAGUGUUCUCAUUGUUCAAUUCCCACCUGUGCCAACUCCUGGGAUCUUAUCGGGAAGUGGCUCAUCAUCAGCUUUAGGUGUUUUCUAUCUAUUGGGAGCCUGCCUUUCUCUGGCACCAGCUGCAACCAAUAAUUAUUUUAGACAGUUUAACAACAGCUUGACCAUCACCUGAUGAUCACCUGACAUUUCUGUUGGGGCGCGGGCCCAUCUCCUGCCCCGCUCAUGUGGGGCUCAGUCUGCCCAACCUUUCCCCAAGGGCCUGUCUUUACUUCAUUUGUGGUAAGCCCCAAGCAGAAUGGACUCUUGUUAUGAUCCCAGGAACUGCUCACGGCCACCUCUGUGGAUGAACACCUAGCGGCUGCUCUAAAUACAUGCUGUGAAAGUUGUCAGAAUCAAAAUGGAGUCACUAAUGUUAAGAAAGCCCUGACAAAGAGUUGGUGGGGAAGGCCACGAAGAGAGGACACUUAUGCUUGCAUGCCUGAUACCAGAAAGGACUACAAAAACCACAGCCCGGCACAGAGGCCAUCACACCCUUACACAAAAAAUAUUUCUGCAAGGACAACUGCCCAGCAAUUGCCUGUCCAACCUCAGACUGGAAUGACCUUUGUUAUUGAUGUUUGUAGCCAAGGAGAAUUAUCUCAAAACCACUGUGAUCCUGCUCGCUUUUCCUUUAAAGACCUUUGUCUUCCUUGACCUCCCUGAAUAGGCAUAUGGUUUACUAUGGCGUGUGUACUCUCCUUGUAAUGUUCUGUUCUCAAGCUAACAUCUAUUCUUCUAGAGAACCUCUCUCUUAGGCUGACAACGCUGUGGAUCUGGGCUCCCAGGAACUGGGGCUGACAUCAGAGGGGUGGAAAGAGAACAGCAGCUCUCCCUGAGGGGAUGCUUGCCAAGGAUAAGGAGACGAUGGUUCUCUAAGGAUUAUUUUAUAUUCAUCUAAAAGGGUAUUUUUGUUGUUACCCCUAGCCUUUUUUCCCUUUUAAUUUUCUGAUGAAUAAUUUAUAUAAAGAAAACCCAUUCUAAGUGUGCAAUUCUAUGAGUUUUGACAAAUGUCU
rnacentral:lncRNA from 1 species